rnacentral:rRNA from 1 species
UACGGGGGGAGCAAGCGUUGUUCGGAUUUACUGGGCGUAAAGGGCGCGUAGGCGGCCAGCACAAGUCAGUUGUGAAAUCUCCGAGCUUAACUCGGAAAGGUCAACUGAUACUGUGCGGCUAGAGUGCGGAAGGGGCAACUGGAAUUCUUGGUGUAGCGGUGAAAUGCGUAGAUAUCAAGAGGAACACCUGUGGCGAAGGCGGGUCUCUGGGCCGAUACUGACGCUGAGGAGCGAAAGCGUGGGGAGCGAACAGG